GCGAGCGCUGGCGGCAGGCCUAAUACAUGCAAGUCGAACGGCUCUUCGGAGCAGUGGCGGACGGGUGAGUAACGCGUGGGAAUGUGCCCUUUGGUACGGAACAACACAGGGAAACUUGUGCUAAUACCGUAUGUGCCCUUCGGGGGAAAGAUUUAUCGCCAUUGGAGCAGCCCGCGUUGGAUUAGGUAGUUGGUGAGGUAAAGGCUCACCAAGCCGACGAUCCAUAGCUGGUCUGAGAGGAUGAUCAGCCACACUGGGACUGAGACACGGCCCAGACUCCUACGGGAGGCAGCAGUAGGGAAUCUUGCGCAAUGGGCGAAAGCCUGACGCAGCCACGCCGCGUGUAUGAUGAAGGUCUUAGGAUUGUAAAAUACUUUCACCGGGGAAGAUAAUGACGGUACCCGGAGAAGAAGCCCCGGCUAACUUCGUGCCAGCCGCCGCCGUAAUAC
rnacentral:rRNA from 1 species